UACGUAGGGGGCAAGCGUUGUCCGGAUUCAUUGGGCGUAAAGAGCGUGUAGGCGGCCAGGUAGGUCGGUUGUGAAAACUGGAGGCUCAACCUUCAGAGGUCGACCGAAACCAUCUGGCUAGAGUCCGGGAGAGGAGAGUGGAAUUCCUGGUGUAGCGGUGAAAUGCGUAGAUAUCAAGAGGAACACCUGCGGCGAAGGCGGGUUGCUGGGCCGACACUGACGCUGAGGCGCGAAAGCUAGGGGAGCGAACGGG
rnacentral:rRNA from 1 species